AGUCGAACGAGAUCUUCGGAUCUAGUGGCGCACGGGUGCGUAACGCGUGGGAAUCUGCCCUUGGGUUCGGAAUAACUUCUGGAAACGGAAGCUAAUACCGGAUGAUGACGUAAGUCCAAAGAUUUAUCGCCCAAGGAUGAGCCCGCGUAGGAUUAGCUAGUUGGUGGGGUAAAGGCUCACCAAGGCGACGAUCCUUAGCUGGUCUGAGAGGAUGAUCAGCCACACUGGGACUGAGACACGGCCCAGACUCCUACGGGAGGCAGCAGUAGGGAAUAUUGGACAAUGGGCGAAAGCCUGAUCCAGCAAUGCCGCGUGAGUGAUGAAGGCCUUAGGGUUGUAAAGCUCUUUUACCCGGGAUGAUAAUGACAGUACCGGGAGAAUAAGCUCCGGCUAACUCCGUGCCAGCAGCCGCGGUAAUACGGAGGGAGCUAGCGUUGUUCGGAAUUACUGGGCGUAAAGCGCACGUAGGCGGCUAUUCAAGUCAGAGGUGAAAGCCCGGGGCUCAACCCCGGAACUGCCUUUGAAACUAGAUAGCUUGAAUCCAGGAGAGGUGAGUGGAAUUCCGAGUGUAGAGGUGAAAUUCGUAGAUAUUCGGAAGAACACCAGUGGCGAAGGCGGCUCACUGGACUGGUAUUGACGCUGAGG
rnacentral:rRNA from 1 species